GUGGGGAAUAUUGGACAAUGGGCGAAAGCCUGAUCCAGCCAUGCCGCGUGUGUGAAGAAGGUCUUCGGAUUGUAAAGCACUUUAAGUUGGGAGGAAGGGCAGUAAGUUAAUACCUUGCUGUUUUGACGUUACCGACAGAAUAAGCACCGGCUAACUUCGUGCCAGCAGCCGCGGUAAUACGAAGGGUGCAAGCGUUAAUCGGAAUUACUGGGCGUAAAGCGCGCGUAGGUGGUUUUGUAAGUUGGAGGUGAAAUCCCCGGGCUCAACCUGGGAACUGCCUCAAAAACUGCAUGACUCGAGUACGAUAGAGGGUAGUGGAAUUUCCUGUGUAGCGGUGAAAUGCGUAGAUAUAGGAAGGAACACCAGUGGCGAAGGCGACUACCUGGACUGAUACUGACACUGAGGUGCGAAAGCGUGGGGAGCAAACAGGAUUAGAAACCCGGGUAGUCC
rnacentral:rRNA from 1 species